rnacentral:rRNA from 1 species
GAUGAACGCUGGCGGCGUGCUUAAAACAUGCAAGUCUAACGAUGAAGCCCAGCUUUCUGUGUGGUUUAGUUGCGAACGGGUAAGUAACACGUGAGUAACCUGCCGUUAACUGUGGGAUAAGCCUGGGAAUCGGAGUCUAAUACCGGACAUUAUGACCUACCUCAUGGCUUGUGUUUGAACGAUUUAUCGGUUUUGUUUGUACUCUCGGCCUAUCAUCUUGUUUUUGAGGUAAUGGCUCACCAAGGCGACGACGUGUAGCCGGCCUGAGAGGGUGACCGGCAACACUGGGACUGAGACACGGCCCAGACUCCUACGGGAGGCAGCAGUGGGGAAUAUUGCACAAUGGGCGAAAGCCUGAUGCAGCGACGCCGCGUGAGGGAUGACGGCCUUCGGGUUGUAAACCUAUUUCAGUAGGGAAGAAGCGACAGUGACGGUACCUGCAGCAGAAGCACCGGCUAACUACGUG